GGGACAUUUUUCUGAUGAUCAUUGCUGGCAUGAAGCUGUUGCGGACAUCAUUCUGCAACCCGGUUUACCAGUUUAUUAACUUGAGCUUCACUGUCAUCUUUUUCCACUUUGACUACAAAGAUAUUUCAGAGAGCUUCUUACUGGAUUUCUUCAUGGUGUCCAUUUUAUUUAACAAGCUCGGGGACCUGCUUCACAAGUUACAGUUCGUCCUGACAUAUGUGGCUCCUUGGCAGAUGGCUUGGGGUUCUUCGUUUCACGUGUUUGCUCAGCUCUUUGCCAUUCCUCAUUCUGCCAUGCUUUUCUUUCAGAUGAUUGCCACGUCAAUCUUUUCUACCCCAUUGAGUCCAUUUCUUGGGAGUGUCAUUUUCAUCACAUCAUAUGUCAGGCCAGUGAAAUUCUGGGAGAAAAACUACAAGUAAGAUCCUAGAAUCAGUGCUCAAUUGCUUUUCUCCAGUUUAUGCUUCAGAAAGCUCCUCUGCUUUCCUCUGUUAGGAGGUCCCUGGCUCCAGGCUUCCCCCUACUGUGGGGCCAGGCCAAACCUAUCUCUCUUGAUGACCUCUUCAGUUCAUUGACUCAGCUCUUUGGUGUCAGGGAUCUGGAAAGAACAUGACUGAUUUCAAAUUAG
rnacentral:sRNA from 1 species